rnacentral:lncRNA from 1 species
AUAGAAACAACCCUUGAGGAAGAAAAUUGAAGAAAAAUUCAUCGGUUACUGAAAAAAAAAAGCGAUCUGAGGUAAGAUUUCGCGAUUUUAGCUUAAGAUUCACCUUUCCCAUGCUUUCUUUUUCAUUUUCUAUGGUUGAAACCCAAACUUUCAUGAAGGAAGUCAUGUUGGCUGAAUCAAGCGGGGGGGGGGGGGAGGUUUUGAUGAUGGUUUUUGUUAGAUUUCAUGCUAUCUAGGUGUUUGUGAUAUACGGUAUGAAAAACAAGCAAGAAAAUCACAUGUCCUUCAAUAAACCCUCAUUGGCCGAAUUUAAUAGGGGAUAUAUUGAUGAUGAAUUUUGUUAUAUUUCAUAUUAUUUAGCUCGUAUUUGAUGAUUUAUGGUGUCGAAUAUCAACAAUGGUUAUCAAAAAGUAUAGUGCCUUUAGUAAACGACUUGAACGACAACAAGAAAAUCAUGGUAAAUGGACUUGAAUUUGAUUUCUAAUGAUAUAUACAGACUUAUUAGACUGUGUUGACACUAAUUAGCACGUUAGUUCGGAAUCGGAAUGAGUUUUGGAUGUGAUCAUUUAAGUCACAAUCAAGUUCAUUGAGGUACUUUGGGUGUAUUUGGAGUACGAAAGUGCAAUGAAUCUAUUUGGAGUUGAAUCGGAUGUUUUGGCUAAUUAAACAGUGUAUAGUGCGAGUUAGGUUGAAUACCAUUUCAGUCCAAUAACAAUUGAACCUACGUAGAACACCAUCUUUAAGUGAUUAUUCGAACAUUUCUCAUUCAAUUUCAUGCAUUCAUAUAGAGCCUGGAAUAGUUUUAUAACAAUUUGGCACAAAUGUAUUGAAUUACUUGUUGUGUAUUAGAUAUAGGUGGUGAGCCCUCUAGUAAGGGUAAGGAUAUCAUACCCGAGGACCAGGAGUAGGAGUACUUCCGUUAUUGUGAGUAAUCAAACUAUCAUCUUAACUAUCUAAAGUAGUUUAUACUCGUUUUUAUGAUUUUAAACAAUAAUGAACUUAAAUUGUAAACUAUUAUGUUUUAUAGCUAAAGUGUUGGUUAAUUGAAAUGAGAUUCAUAAUUUGGUUUGAAAUUGAAUCCUGGUUUUGGAAAUUGAGUAAGUGGAGACUAUAUACUUGUGUUAUAUAUAUGUUUUGACUAUUGUUAGUUAUGCCGACCCUGCUUUGUAAUAAAUGUAUAGGCAUAACAGGAUUUGUAAUUGACAUAUGGUUUGAAUUUAUGGCUUAUGACAAUGUGAUGGCAUGAAUGGCUAGAUUUGUGUUUGUGUGGAAUAUAUGAACUAUUUUGUUUUACCUUGACAGACUGGGUAAUAUCAUAUUAGCCAUGUCAUACUGCCAAAAUUUUUAUUAAUUUGGUAGGGUAAUUGAUUAGCUUAUUGCAGUGGGCGGGUUUCCGUGGACCGCCCUAUUGAGGGGCACGAUAAAACCCGUCAUAUUUUACCUUAGUAUGAGAGGCGCGAAGGGUAUCUCCUAAGGUAGUUUAGAGUUCACUUCAUGCCGAACCACCAUGUGAGGGUGAAACUCAGCCAACGCCAAGGAACGACUGUGUUUUUAAACGUAAAAACAUGUUUUAUGUGUAUAUGUUAUUUUAACAGCCUUGACGGACUCGGUUGGAUGCCCUGCUCAAGGUGUCACCGAGUACAAGUUUUGGCACGAGCCAAGUUUUUAAAAGAGUCAUAAGC